rnacentral:rRNA from 1 species
AGUGAACGCUGGCGGUAGGCCUAACACAUGCAGGUCGAACGGCAGCACAGUAAGAGCUUGCUCUUACGGGUGGCGAGUGGCGGACGGGUGAGGAAUACAUCGGAAUCUACUUUUUCGUGGGGGAUAACGUAGGGAAACUUACGCUAAUACCGCAUACGACCUACGGGUGAAAGCAGGGGAUCUUCGGACCUUGCGCGAUUGAAUGAGCCGAUGUCGGAUUAGCUAGUUGGCGGGGUAAAGGCCCACCAAGGCGGCGAUCCGUAGCUGGUCUGAGAGGAUGAUCAGCCACACUGGAACUGAGACACGGUCCAGACUCCUACGGGAGGCAGCAGUGGGGAAUAUUGGACAAUGGGCGCAAGCCUGAUCCAGCCAUACCGCGUGGGUGAAGAAGGCCUUCGGGUUGUAAAGCCCUUUUGUUGGGAAAGAAAAGCAGCAGGUUAAUACCCCGCUGUUCUGACGGUACCCAAAGAAUAAGCACCGGCUAACUUCGUG